rnacentral:rRNA from 1 species
AGAGUUUGAUCCUGGCUCAGAACGAACGCUGGCGGCAGGCUUAACACAUGCAAGUCGAGCGCGUGGCAACACGAGCGGCAGACGGGUGAGUAACGCGUGGGAAUCUACCGGACCCUACGGAAUAACGCAUGGAAACGUGUGCUAAUACCGUAUACGCCCUACGGGGGAAAGAUUUAUCGGGGUUUGAUGAGCCCGCGUUGGAUUAGCUAGUUGGUGGGGUAAAGGCCUACCAAGGCGACGAUCCAUAGCUGGUCUGAGAGGAUGAUCAGCCACAUUGGGACUGAGACACGGCCCAAACUCCUACGGGAGGCAGCAGUGGGGAAUAUUGGACAAUGGGCGCAAGCCUGAUCCAGCCAUGCCGCGUGAGUGAUGAAGGCCCUAGGGUUGUAAAGCUCUUUCACCGGAGAAGAUAAUGACGGUAUCCGGAGAAGAAGCCCCGGCUAACUUCGUGCCAGCAGCCGCGGUAAUACGAAGGGGGCUAGCGUUGUUCGGAAUUACUGGGCGUAAAGCGCACGUAGGCGGACAUUUAAGUCAGGGGUGAAAUCCCGGAGCUCAACUCCGGAACUGCCUUUGAUACUGGGUGUCUUGAGUGUGGAAGAGGUGAGUGGAAUUCCGAGUGUAGAGGUGAAAUUCGUAGAUAUUCGGAGGAACACCAGUGGCGAAGGCGGCUCACUGGUCCAUUACUGACGCUGAGGUGCGAAAGCGUGGGGAGCAAACAGGAUUAGAUACCCCUGUAGUCC